UGGGGAAUUUUGGACAAUCGGCGUAAAUGCCUGAUCCAGCCAUGCCUGCUGUGCAGGACGAAGGCCUUCGGGUUGUAAACUGCUUUUGUACGGAAGGAAAAGGACCUGGUAACCUUAUGAAUAAGGAUCCGGAUAACUACGAUUCAGGACCGGCUAAUUCC
rnacentral:rRNA from 1 species